UGGAAACAGGUGCUAAUACCGUAUAUCUCUAAGGAUCGCAUGAUCCUUAGAUGAAAGAUGGUUCUGCUAUCGCUUUUAGAUGGACCCGCGGCGUAUUAACUAGUUGGUGGGGUAACGGCCUACCAAGGUGAUGAUACGUAGCCGAACUGAGAGGUUGAUCGGCCACAUUGGGACUGAGACACGGCCCAAACUCCUACGGGAGGCAGCAGUAGGGAAUCUUCCACAAUGGACGCAAGUCUGAUGGAGCAACGCCGCGUGAGUGAAGAAGGUCUUCGGAUCGUAAAACUCUGUUGUUAGAGAAGAACACGAGUGAGAGUAACUGUUCAUUCGAUGACGGUAUCUAACCAGCAAGUCACGGCUAACUACGUGCCAGCAGCCGCGGUAAUACGUAGGUGGCAAGCGUUGUCCGGAUUUAUUGGGCGUAAAGGGAACGCAGGCGGUCUUUUAAGUCUGAUGUGAAAGCCUUCGGCUUAACCGGAGUAGUGCAUUGGAAACUGGA
rnacentral:rRNA from 2 species